AUCACUUCUCGGCCUUCUGGCUAAGGUCAAGUGUAGCAUCUGUCCUUAUCAGUUUAGAAUCUGAUAUGUCCUCUGUCCGAGGACAAUAUAGUAAAUGGAUUUUUGGAGCAGGGAGAUGGAAUAGGGCUUGCUCUGUCCAUUCCACACAUCGACCUGGUAUUGUGGUACCUCUGGGAAUGGUGCACCAAAA